rnacentral:lncRNA from 1 species
AGAAAUCAAGAUUUUCUAUAAAACUGAUGAGAACAAAGAGAGAGCAUACUAGAAUCUCUGGAAUACAGCUAAAACAGUGUUAAGAGGGAUAUUUGUAGUACCAAAUGGCCAUAUUGAACCUCUAGAAUGAUCUCAAGUUAACAAUUUAAUAUCUUGACUAAAAGAACCAGAGAACCAAGUGCAAGCAAACCCCAAAACUAGCAGAUCAGAGCUAAACUGAAAGAGAUAGAGACACACACACACAAACACACACACUAUCUUUAAAUCAUUAUCUCCUGCCACUAUUCACCUGUUAAAAGAAUUAUGUCUUUCUCUGUCAUGGUACCACUCCUAGAGUAUAAGCCCAGUGAGGCUAGG